AGCGAACGCUGGCGGCAGGCCUAACACAUGCAAGUCGAACGAAGUCUUCGGACUUAGUGGCGGACGGGUGAGUAACACGUGGGAACGUACCCUUUGGUUCGGAACAACUCAGGGAAACUUGAGCUAAUACCGGAUGAGCCCUUAGGGGGAAAGAUUUAUUGCCGAAAGAGCGGCCCGCGUUAGAUUAGCUAGUUGGUGAGGUAAAGGCUCACCAAGGCUACGAUCUAUAGCUGGUCUGAGAGGAUGAUCAGCCACACUGGGACUGAGACACGGCCCAGACUCCUACGGGAGGCAGCAGUGGGGAAUCUUGCGCAAUGGGCGAAAGCCUGACGCAGCCAUGCCGCGUGAAUGAUGAAGGUCUUAGGAUUGUAAAAUUCUUUUACCAGGGACGAUAAUGACGGUACCUGGAGAAAAAGCCCCGGCUAACUUCGUGCCAGCCGCCGCCGUAAAAC
rnacentral:rRNA from 1 species